UGGCUCAGAACGACGCUGGCGGCAGGCCUAACACAUGCAAGUCGAGCGAACCCUUCGGGGUUAGCGGCGGACGGGUUAGUAACGCGUGGGAAUAUACCCUUUGGUACGGAAUAGCCUCGGGAAACUGAGAGUAAUACCGUAUGUGCCCUUCGGGGGAAAGAUUUAUCGCCAAAGGAUUAGCCCGCGUUGGAUUAGAUAGUUGGUGGGGUAAUGGCCUACCAAGUCUACGAUCCAUAGCUGGUUUGAGAGGAUGAUCAGCAACACUGGGACUGAGACACGGCCCAGACUCCUACGGGAGGCAGCAGUGGGGAAUCUUAGACAAUGGGCGCAAGCCUGAUCUAGCCAUGCCGCGUGGACGAUGAAGGCCUUAGGGUUGUAAAGUCCUUUCAGAUGGGAAGAUAAUGACGGUACCAUCAGAAGAAGCCCCGGCUAACUCCGUG
rnacentral:rRNA from 1 species